GAUAAUCAAUUGAUGAUCAAUACAAAUAAGAGUAAUAAAAAUCUAUGAAUUGUAUCAAAAUUAAGUUAACGAGCAUACCAGAUAAUCAAACAUAGUACCACUGCGACUAAUGAACCGUCAAGUGAUGCGCUGGUACCACUAUAUGUAUAUAUCAUUGAAGUCCGUAGUACCAUCAACUGGAGGCCCAUGUACAAUGUAGUCUCGACGGCUCUCCUAUAAAUAGAGAAAAUGCUGAAGAGUAAUACCCCAAUC
rnacentral:lncRNA from 1 species